GCUGCAUGCACCAGAACAUUGUGGGAUGCGAGGCAGGAUGGAUGGACAGACUCCCCCAUUUUAACCCAUCAAAAUACAUUUAGGGAAAAUGGGAAAGCAGCUUUCAGUACAAUGCAGCACCUCUUGAUAUACUAGAUUUUCCAAGUGGAGGCAACCUUUGGCACUCCAUAUGUGGACUACAACUCCCUUGAUGCUUUGCAAGCAUUAUGGUUGUAAAAGCAGUAUUGGAGGUGUAGUCCACAACAUCUGGAGUGCCGACAUUUGAUUACUUCUGUGCAAGGAAGAGGCUUUCUCCACAUUAUGAUAAUGCCCUUCCACUCCAUGGCCCCAACAGGAAAUUUGCCAGUUUCUAUGGACAGUCCAAUAUUUUAUACUAUACUAUUUGACGAAUCUUGGAAUCCAUUCUCCAGCAUUAUAUUGGCUUCCUCUGCUUGUUA